CCUACGGGUGGCUGCAGUAGGGAAUAUUGCUCAAUGGGGGAAACCCUGAAGCAGCAACGCCGCGUGGAGGAUGAAGGUUUUCGGAUUGUAAACUCCUUUUGUUAGAGAAGAUAAUGACGGUAUGUAACGAAUAAGCACCGGCUAACUCCGUGACAGCAGCCGCGGUAAUACGGAGGGUGCCAGCGUUACUCGGAAUCACUGGGCGUAAAGAGCGCGUAGGCGGGCUAGCAAGUCAGAUGUGAAAUCCUAUGGCUUAACCAUAGAACUGCAUUUGAAACUGUUAUUCUAGAGUAUGGGAGAGGUAGGUGGAAUGCUUGGUGUAGGGGUAAAAUGCGUAGAGAUCAAGAGGAAUACUCAUUGCGAAGGCGACCUGCCAGGACAUGACUGACGCUGAUGCGCGAAAGCGUGGGGAGCAAACAGGAUUAGAUACCCGAGUAGUC
rnacentral:rRNA from 1 species